GGAUGAACGCUGGCGGCGUGCCUAAUACAUGCAAGUCGAGCGAACAGACAAGGAGCUUGCUCCUUUGACGUUAGCGGCGGACGGGUGAGUAACACGUGGGUAACCUACCUAUAAGACUGGGAUAACUUCGGGAAACCGGAGCUAAUACCGGAUAAUAUUUCGAACCGCAUGGUUCGAUAGUGAAAGAUGGUUUUGCUAUCACUUAUAGAUGGACCCGCGCCGUAUUAGCUAGUUGGUAAGGUAACGGCUUACCAAGGCGACGAUACGUAGCCGACCUGAGAGGGUGAUCGGCCACACUGGAACUGAGACACGGUCCAGACUCCUACGGGAGGCAGCAGUAGGGAAUCUUCCGCAAUGGGCGAAAGCCUGACGGAGCAACGCCGCGUGAGUGAUGAAGGUCUUCGGAUCGUAAAACUCUGUUAUUAGGGAAGAACAUACGUGUAAGUAACUAUGCACGUCUUGACGGUACCUAAUCAGAAAGCCACGGCUAACCACGUGCCAGCAGCCGCGGUAAUACGUAGGUGGCAAGCGUUAUCCGGAAUUAUUGGGCGUAAAGCGCGCGUAGGCGGUUUUUUAAGUCUGAUGUGAAAGCCCACGGCUCAACCGUGGAGGGUCAUUGGAAACUGGAAAACUUGAGUGCAGAAGAGGAAGUGGAAUUCCAUGUGUAGCGGUGAAAUGCGCAGAGAUAUGGAGGAACACCAGUGGCGAAGGCGACUUUCUGGUCUGUAACUGACGCUGAUGUGCGAAAGCGUGGGGAUCAAACAGGAUUAGAUACCCUGGUAGUCCACGCCGUAAACGAUGAGUGCUAAGUGUUAGGGGGUUUCCGCCCCUUAGUGCUGCAGCUAACGCAUUAAGCACUCCGCCUGGGGAGUACGACCGCAAGGUUGAAACUCAAAGGAAUUGACGGGGACCCGCACAAGCGGUGGAGCAUGUGGUUUAAUUCGAAGCAACGCGAAGAACCUUACCAAAUCUUGACAUCCUUUGACAACUCUAGAGAUAGAGCCUUCCCCUUCGGGGGACAAAGUGACAGGUGGUGCAUGGUUGUCGUCAGCUCGUGUCGUGAGAUGUUGGGUUAAGUCCCGCAACGAGCGCAACCCUUAAGCUUAGUUGCCAUCAUUAAGUUGGGCACUCUAAGUUGACUGCCGGUGACAAACCGGAGGAAGGUGGGGAUGACGUCAAAUCAUCAUGCCCCUUAUGAUUUGGGCUACACACGUGCUACAAUGGACAAUACAAAGGGCAGCGAAACCGCGAGGUCAAACAAAUCCCAUAAAGUUGUUCUCAGUUCGGAUUGUAGUCUGCAACUCGACUACAUGAAGCUGGAAUCGCUAGUAAUCGUAGAUCAGCAUGCUACGGUGAAUACGUUCCCGGGUCUUG
rnacentral:rRNA from 1 species